AUUGAACGCUGGCGGCAGGCCUAACACAUGCCAGUCGAGCGGAUGAAGGGAGCUUGCUCCUGGAUUCAGCGGCGGACGGGUGAGUAAUGCCUAGGAAUCUGCCUGGUAGUGGGGGAUAACGUCCGGAAACGGGCGCUAAUACCGCAUACGUCAUGAGGGAGAAAGUGGGGGAUCUUCGGACCUCACGCUAUCAGAUGAGCCUAGGUCGCAUUAGCUAGUUGGUGGGGUAAAGGCCUACCAAGGCGACGAUCCGUAACUGGUCUGAGAGGAUGAUCAGUCACACUGGAACUGAGACACGGUCCAGACUCCUACGGGAGGCAGCAGUGGGGAAUAUUGGACAAUGGGCGAAAGCCUGAUCCAGCCAUGCCGCGUGUGUGAAGAAGGUCUUCGGAUUGUAAAGCACUUUAAGUUGGGAGGAAGGGCAGUAAGUUAAUACCUUGCUGUUUUGACGUUACCAACAGAAUAAGCACCGGCUAACUUCGUG
rnacentral:rRNA from 1 species